UCGGGUGACACCAGGGUGACACUCGGGUGACAUUCCGGGUGACACUCGGGUGACACCGGGGUGACCCUGAGGUGACACUCGGGUGACAUUUCGGGUGACACUCGGGUGACACCGGGGUGACCCUGAGGUGACACUCGGGUGACAUUUCGGAUGACACUCGGGUGACACCCGGGUGACACCGGGGUGACCCUGAGGUGACAGCACCGUCCCCGGUCUCACCUCCACGGCCGCCACGCGGGACCUGGCCCAGCUCUGGCGCAGCCUCGGCCCCGACGAGCGCCGCCCCUACCGGUUCGUACUGGUUUAUACUGGUUCAUACUGGUUUAUACCGGUUCGUACUGGUUUAGACUGGUUCAUACUGGUUUAGACUGGUUUAGACUGGUUUAUACCGGUUCGUACUGGUUUAUACUGGUUUAUACUGGUUCGUACUGGUUUAUACCGGUUUGGACUGGUUUAUACCGGUUCAUACUGGUUUAUGCUGGUUUAUACCGGUUUAUACUGGUUUAUACUGGUUUAUACUGGUUCGUACUGGUUUAUACCGGUUCACACUGGUUUGGACUGGUUUGGACUGGUCUGGACUGGUUUGGACUGGUUUAUAGCGGUUCAUACUGGUUUAUACCGGUCCAUACCGGUUUACACUGGUCCAUACCGGUUUAUACCGGUCCGUACCGGUCCAUACCGCUCCAUACCGGUCCAUACCAGUCCAUAACGGUUUACACUGGUCCGUACCGGUCCAUACCGGUCCAUACCGGUUUAUACCGGUCCAUACCGGUCCGUACCGGUUUACGCUGGUCCAUACCGGUCCAUACCGGUUUAUACCGGUCCAUACCGGUCCAUACCGGUCCAUACCGGUUUAUACCGGUCCAUACCGGUCCAUACCGGUCCAUACCGGUCCAUACCAGUCCAUACCGGUCCGUACCGCUCCGUACCGGUCCAUACCGCUCCGUACUGGUCCGUACCGGUUUAUACUGGUCCAUACCGGUUUAUACUGGUUUAUACCGGUUUAUACCGCUCCGUACCGGUCCGUACCGGUUUAUACUGGUUUAUACCGGUCCGUACCGCUCCGUACCGGUCCAUACCGGUUUAUACUGGUCCAUACUGGUUUAUACCGGUCCGUACCGGUCCAUACCGCUCCAUACCGCUCCGUACCGGUCCGUACCGGUCCAUACCGGUCCGUACCGGUUUAUACCGGUCCGUACCGGUCCGUACCGGUCCAUACCGGUUUAUACUGGUUUAUACCGGUCCGUACCGGUCCGUAGCGGUUUCCGCUGCUCCGGCAGG
rnacentral:lncRNA from 1 species